rnacentral:lncRNA from 1 species
CUGCCAUGUGGCAUAUGAAGAAAUAGGUUCCACAAAAGAAUUCUUCUAUUGAAUGUAUGCUUCUUAUUUAUGGUCUUGGAUAAAUAAAAGUUGUCAAAUAACUAGAUUUUCUUCCUUUCUCACAAAGGAAUUGUCUACUGAAGGGACAACCUUUUCAAAGUACUUUGUUAUGCAUCUGACAAGUGUAUGACUGGUGAUGGUGUACUGGAUAAUAGUGUCCUGGAGAGCCUUAACAGCUGAAAAUGUGUAUAUUAUGAGGAAAUUUAUGGACAUCUGAACUGCUGAAAUUUAAACAGAUUCAAAGAAAGAAGAACCUGACAGAAUCAGUGUUACAUUUCAGGAACUACCAGUCACUUGUCCAGAGGAAGAAUUAGAAUGAUAUUCAGAGUGUUUGGAAACAGAGGCAAAAGGGCAAGAGGUGUCCACAAUUACAAAAUUACAGCUUUGAUUCUGAAGUGAACAUACUGACAUAUGAAAUCCACCCUAGAAGUCUCGUUCUCAGAAAACUACAUCUAAUCAGUCCUUAAAUUUCUCUUUGGUAGCUACUUAAUAUAGUUGAAAGUAAUCUAAAUAAAAUACUGAAGAAGAUUGUAUGGCAUUUGUUUUCAGAGAUCUUACGCACACAUUGAAGCAGGUGACCUGUAUUUG